GCUAAAAAGUAGAAUCUAUUCACGUGUUUGGUUCUACAAAGGGAAUUUAAUCCCCACUCAUCUGAGAUACACUGCACUUCAUCUUCAUCUGCUUUCCUUUCUCCCUCUUCAUCUACACUUCCUUUGCCGGCGAACAAUCUCUCUUCUGAAAGCCCACCAACUUAACUUCGCCACCGAUGCACCAAACGUCCUCAUCAGCAGCCUCUGUGGAAGCAUUUUAUAUGAAGAAUCAGUGUUGUCGAUAACUGUGUCCAGAUUGCAAUUGAUCAAACGCGUGGUGGACAAGGUUGCAGGAAGAACACAUGGGGAAAAAAAGGAGAUCCGGGUCUCCGCUCUCCGGUCACCACUCACAACAAAAUAUCCAACAUCCAUAGCUCAAGUACCUACUUAUUGUGUUCCUGAGAAUACAAGUCAUUUUGAAUAGCGUCAACAUAGAAUGUUGGUGAGUUCAUAAGCAUAUUUGUAUGAAAAGAUUUGUAACAUCUUUGUUUGAAAUGAUUUGUAUGAUUCCACAAAAUCCGAUAUUUUCUAUGAAAAUGGUUUGUAAGUCUCGUUUCAAAACUGUGAAUAUAUCCAUGCAUGUCCUUUGUUUUC